rnacentral:lncRNA from 1 species
AACAGACCAGGAAGGCAGCAGCCCUGCCCACCAGGAGCCAGCUAUCACAGACACUGGCAGCUGGCUCAGCUCUGCAGCCUCUACAGGAAGCUGGUUUUGAAGAAUCCAGAUGAAAAUGUUGUCUUCUCCCCAUUCAGCAUCUCAGCGGCCUUGGCCCUGCUGUCCCUGGGAGCAAAGAGCAACACCCUGAAGGAAAUCCUAGAAGGUCUCAAGUUCAACCUCACAGAGACCCCUGAACCAGACAUCCACCAGGGCUUUAGGUACUUGCUAGACUUCUCAGUCAGCCAGGGGACCAGGUACAGAUCAGCACAGGCAGUGCCCUGUUUAUUGAAAAGCACCUACAGAUCCUGGCAGAGUUCAAGGAGAAGGCAAGGGCUCUGUACCAGGCUGAGGCCUUCACAGCAGAUUUCCUGCAGCCUCGCCAGGCCACAAAGCUCAUCAAUGACUAUGUGAGCAAUCAGACCCAGGGGAAGAUCAAGGAACUCAUCUCAGACCUGGAUAAGAGCACGUUGAUGGUGCUGGUGAAUUACAUCUACUUUAAAGCUCCACAUUUAGGCAAAUGGAAGAUGCCCUUUGACCCCCAUGACACAUUUAAUUCCGUGUUCUACUUGGAUGAGAAGAGGUCUGUGAAUGUGUCCAUGAUGAAAAUUGAGGAAUUGACCACACCCUACUUCCGGGAUGAUGAGCUGUCCUGCACUGUGGUGGAGCUGAAGUACACCGGAAAUGCAAGUGCUAUGUUCAUCCUCCCUGACCAGGGCAGGAUGCAGCAGGUCGAAGCCAGCUUACAACCAGAGACCCUGAGGAAGUGGAAGAACUCUCUGAAGCCCAGGAGGAUAGAUGAGCUCCACCUGCCCAAGUUCUCCAUCUCCAUGGACAACAGCCUGGAGCACAUCCUUCCUGAGCUGGGCAUCAGGGAGCUCUUCUCCACACAGGCUGACCUGUCUGCAAUCACAGGAACCAAGGACCUGAGAGUCUCUCAGGUGGUCCACAAGGCUGUGCUGGAUGUGGCUGAGACAGGCACAGAGGCAGCUGCUGCCACAGGGGUCAAAUUAAUUCUAUGUUGUGAAAAAAUCUAUUCUAUGACAAUAUAUUUCAACAGGCCGUUCCUGAUGAUUAUCUCUGACAUAAACGCUCACAUUGCCCUCUUUAUGGCCAAAGUUACAAAUCCCAAGUGAGACCAGAACUUCUCAAAUGGGGAAAGGGCCCCUUCCCAAGAGCUGAGAAUUGAGCCUGUAUGUCUGUCUGUCUGCACAUUUUGGCUUCCAUGCUCUGCUUGGCUGAGGCAUGCCUGACUAGACAGUGACACUGACUAACUCUGUGACUCCCUCAUGCAGAGAAACAAGCCUAUGGCUGGUCAGUGUCAGACUCUCUGUCAUCUUGGCAGCCCUAGCUCAGGAUCCUGACCUGAAAUUUGUGUUAUUCCCUAUCCCUGCUCUCUCCCCUGUAUCUGCCUCAACUCAAAAGCGUGGGCCCAGCAGUGAGGCUCUCUCCUAACUUAGGCUCUGCUUAUGUCUGCUGUCAGCUUUUCAGUCAUGAUGGGACUUUGAAAGUUUAAAGCCAACUCAUAAGGUCUAAGAAGGGAACCUGCUGCCCUGGGUCUAUCUGCAGCAUCUGAAACACUUGACGCCCAGUUCUGCCUUAGUCUUGCCUUCCUUUGGGCAGAGCUAUCCAUAGCCCCUGCAGAAUCUCUUGGCCCUGCCCACCUCUGGCACAGGUGGAGCACUCAACCCUGCAAAUGCAUGGGGCCUGUGGGUCAAAGCAGCUCCCCCUAGCACUCCUACUCAGAACAGAGAAGUAGCCUAACCCUAAGUCUCUAAUUGACCAACCUCAUAGGACAGGUGGACACCUCCACCUUCAUCACCCAAAUUGAAAGGGCAGGAGCUAAUGAUCAAUAAACAUAUAACUGCAUUGAA